rnacentral:rRNA from 1 species
UACAGAGGUCCCAAGCGUUGUUCGGAUUCACUGGGCGUCAAGGGUGCGUAGGUGGCAGGGUAAGUUUGAUGUGAAAUCUCCGGGCUUAACCCGGAAACUGCAUUGAAUACUAUCCUGCUCGAGGUUUGGAGGGGGGACUGGAAUUCUCGGUGUAGCAGUGAAAUGCGUAGAUAUCGAGAGGAACACCAGUGGCGAAGGCGAGUCCCUGGACAACACCUGACACUGAGGCACGAAAGCUAGGGGAGCAAACAGG